GAUCAUGGCUCAGGAUGAACGCUGGCGGCGUGCUUAACACAUGCAAGUCGAACGGGAAUUACUUUAUUGAAACUUCGGUCGAUUUAAUUUAAUUCUAGUGGCGGACGGGUGAGUAACGCGUGGGUAACCUGCCUUAUACAGGGGGAUAACAGUCAGAAAUGGCUGCUAAUACCGCAUAAGCGCACAGAGCUGCAUGGCUCGGUGUGAAAAACUCCGGUGGGUAUAAGAAUGGACCCGGCCGUUGGGUAUUAAG
rnacentral:rRNA from 1 species